GGUAAUUACAACAAUUAUAUGUACUCAACCUUCGGGACAAUAACUUUUGGAAUUUUCUAACACUGAAGAGUUUAUAUUGAAUAUAUUUUCUGAAAAUACUUAUUUGACAAGAAUUGCACUGCAAUACAAAAGUUUAACGAACAGUGAUUUUAUUGUUGUGCACCAGUCUUAAUCAACCGUACGGACAAGGACCACCACCACAGCAGCCAUACUAUCAAGGACCACCUCCCCAAUAUGGACCACCCCCGGGACAAUAUGGUGGAUAUAUGCCUCCUCCUCAGCAGCAGCAACAACAGCAAACCACAGUUGUUGUACAAGGAGGACAACCACAAACAACUAUCAUCCAACAAAGAAAGGAAAGGUUUGCAGACAAAAUAUGUUUGAACCUAAUUUUGACUUGCUUUAUUCCUUUUUGGCCAAUUAUAUGGAUAAUAAUGUGUAUUGUGGAGUAACAUGAUUAGAAGAGGAGAUUAUAUCAGUUUUGAUGAAUGAUACCAAACUCAGUUAUACAUUGUAUAUAUUAUGUGUUUAUCUUAUUUAUUUAUUAUAUAACAAAUAUUAGCUUA